GGAGGGUUCGCAUAGCGGUCUAGUGCGGUCGCUUGGAAAGCGGCUAAGGGCUAACGCCCUUCAAGAGUUCGAAUCUCUUACCCUCCG
rnacentral:tRNA from 1 species